rnacentral:rRNA from 1 species
UACGUAGGGUCCAAGCGUUGUCCGGAUUUAUUGGGCGUAAAGAGCUCGUAGGCGGUUCGGUAAGUCGGGUGUGAAAACCCCAGGCUCAACCUGGGGACGCCACUCGAUACUGCUGUGACUUGAGUUCGGUAGGGGAGCACGGAAUUCCUGGUGUAGCGGUGAAAUGCGCAGAUAUCAGGAGGAACACCGGUGGCGAAGGCGGUGCUCUGGGCCGAAACUGACGCUGAGGAGCGAGAGCGUGGGUAGCAAACAGG